UACGGAGGGUGCUAGCGUUGUUCGGAAUCACUGGGCGUAAAGGGCGUGUAGGCGGUCUGUUAAGUCUGAUGUGAAAUCCCCUCGCUCAACGAGGGAACUGCGUCGGAUACUGGCAGACUCGAGUACCGGAGAGGAAGGUGGAAUUCCCGGUGUAGCGGUGAAAUUCGUAGAUAUUCGCAAGAACACCAGUGGCGAAGGCGGCUCACUGGCCCGGUACUGACGCUGAGGUGGCGAAAGCGUGGGGAGCAAACAGG
rnacentral:rRNA from 1 species